rnacentral:rRNA from 1 species
GACGUAGGGCGCGAGCGUUGUCCGGAUUUAUUGGGCGUAAAGAGCUCGUAGGCGGCUUGUCGCGUCGACCGUGAAACCUCACAGCUCAACUGUGAGCCUGCGGUCGAUACGGGCAGGCUAGAGUUCGGUAGGGGGAGACUGGAAUUCCUGGUGUAGCGGUGAAAUGCGCAGAUAUCAGGAGGAACACCGGUGGCGAAGGCGGGUCUCUGGGCCGAAACUGACGCUGAGGAGCGAAAGCGUGGGGAGCGAACAGG